ACGUAGGGUGCGAGCGUUAAUCGGAAUUACUGGGCGUAAAGCGUGCGCAGGCGGUUAUGCAAGACAGGUGUGAAAUCCCCGGGCUCAACCUGGGAACUGCGCUUGUGACUGGCUGACUAGAGUGCGGCAGAGGGAGGUGGAAUUCCGCGUGUAGCAGUGAAAUGCGUAGAGAUGUGGAGGAACACCGAUGGCGAAGGCAGCCCCCUGGGAUGAUACUGACGCUCAUGCACGAAAGCGUGGGGAGCAAACAG
rnacentral:rRNA from 1 species